GACGAACGCUGGCGGCGUGCCUAAUACAUGCAAGUCGAACGCACAGUUUAUACCGUAGCUUGCUACACCAUAGACUGUGAGUUGCGAACGGGUGAGUAACGCGUAGGUAACCUGCCUGGUAGCGGGGGAUAACUAUUGGAAACGAUAGCUAAUACCGCAUAAUAUUAAUUAUUGCAUGAUAAUUAAUUGAAAGGUGCAAUUGCACCACUACCAGAUGGACCUGCGUUGUAUUAGCUAGUGGGUGAGGUGACGGCUCACCUAGGCGACGAUACAUAGCCGACCUGAGAGGGUGAUCGGCCACACUGGGACUGAGACACGGCCCAGACUCCUACGGGAGGCAGCAGUAGGGAAUCUUCGGCAAUGGACGAAAGUCUGACCGAGCAACGCCGCGUGAGUGAAGAAGGUUUUCGGAUCGUAAAGCUCUGUUGUAAGAGAAGAACGGGUGUGAGAGUGGAAAGUUCACACUGUGACGGUAUCUUACCAGAAAGGGACGGCUAACUACGUG
rnacentral:rRNA from 1 species